UCGUGAGAUGUUGGGUUAAGUCCCGUAACGAGCGCAACCCUUGUCCUUAGUUACCAGCACGUUAUGGUGGGCACUCUAAGGAGACUNCCGGUGACAAACCCGGAGGAAGGUGGGGAUGACGUCAAGUCAUCAUGGCCCUUACGGCCUGGGCUACACACGUGNUACAAUGGUCGGUACAAAGGGUUGCCAAGCCGCGAGGUGGAGCUAAUCCCAUAAAACCGAUCGUAGUCCGGAUCGCAGUCUGCAACUCGACUGCGUGAAGUCGGAAGU
rnacentral:rRNA from 2 species